rnacentral:ncRNA from 2 species
AACAAGAUAAGAGGUCGCAAAAACCAUGAGUCGUUAUCCUGAACUGACUAAGCAGUAAUGAGGGAUAAUUAAAGGGGAAUUUGCCGAAAUGUCAAUUUGCUUAUUCAUUUUGAUGUUGGGACUUGGUUGAAUAAAUCAAGGACUGUCGUAACGAAAUGUUACGGGGCGCUAUCAACGGA